UGGUGGAGUGAUUUGUCUGCUUAAUUGCGAUAACGAACGAGACCUUAACCUGCUAAAUAGUUACGGGAACCUCUGCGUUCGCGGCCAACUUCUUAGAGGGACUUUUGCGUGUUUUAACCAAAGGAAGUUUGAGGCAAUAACA
rnacentral:rRNA from 1 species